GCUUGGCCCAAGAUGGCGGCCUCCGUGUGCAGCGGGUUGCUGGGGCCACGGGUGAGUGGGGCGACUCGGCAGGUCCCUGCGAGUCGGAGGUGGGGUCCCUAGUUUCCGCCUCACGCGCCCUCCCUCCACAGGUGCUGUCCUGGAGCCGAGAGCUGCCUUGCGCUUGGCGCGCCCUGCACACCUCCCCGGUCUGCGCCAAGAACCGGGCGGCCCGAGUACGCGUAAGCAAGGGGGACAAGGCGGUGACCUACGAGGAGGCACACGCGCCGCACUACAUCGCCCACCGUAAAGGCUGGCUGUCGCUGCACACAGGUGAGCGGACCCCAGGCCUCCAAAAGGAGCACUCAAUCCGACUGUCAUGUAAACAAAAUGAACACGUGUCACAGGUUUUCUUUAACUCAGGAAAUAAUGCUAGGGUCAGAAAUCUAUGAAACCAACUCAAGGGAGACAUAAAAAAGCAGAGAUAUAUAUAGAUCAGGAUGUUGAAACAAAUUUGAAGAUGGAUGCAAAACUGACUUUUUCCAUGGCAGGCAGGGACUCAAUUGAUCCUCCACUGAACAGAAAUUAUUUGCAUGUCUACAGACAAGAAUUAUUUUGCAUUCCUGUCAGUUAUCUGUAACUUACAGAGCUGUAAAAUAGCUCAGAGUCAAGGAAAGGAGUGAAACCGUUGCAGAAUCUGAUAACCCUGAACAGUGUGCUCUAAGGAAUGCAGUUUUCCACUAAAGCACAAAUUUUUCUCUGUAAAUAUAUACAGACAACCCUCGUUAUUCAUGAAUUCCAUAUUUUCAGAUUCUUCUACUGACUAAAAUUUAUUUGUAAGCCCCAAAUCAACACUCUGGGCACUCUCAAGGUCACUCUGAGAUGUGGGUAGAGCUGCCACCCCAGGUGCAUGUCCUGAGCUGAGGUCGACAAGGCUCUGCCUAGUUUCAGCUCUCAUACUGUAAAAGGUGUCCUUUUUAUGGUCUAGAAUCUUUUUUUUUUUAAUUUGCAUUUUCAUGCUUUUUGUUAGUGAUUUUGCUGUUUAAAAUGGCCUUGCAAUGCUGAAGUGCUAUCUAGUGUUCCUAAGCGGGAGAAGGCUGUGACGUGCCUUAGGGAGAACAUACAUGUAUUAGAGAAUCUUUCUUCAGUCAUGAGUUGCUCUUGGCCCUGAAUUCAAUGUUAGUGAAUCUACCAUAUAUAUUAAACAAGGUGUCUUUAAACAGAAACACAAAGGAAACUAGGUUAUGUAUUGAUUUGUUAACAAAAAUACGGUGCCCAGAGGCUGAAAGGAAUCUAACCCUGUAUUUCCCCUAGGAGCAAUGGUUCAGUAUUCACUAAGUCAGUGUUGGCAGUGACUUUAUAGAAUAUAACUAUUGUGAACAAUUGAUAACCAACUGUGCUUUGUUUAGUACAGGGGUUCUUGGAUGUUUGAGAUGCAUCUAGAGAACUUACUUAAAAUACAGAUGCUUGCCUGGCACGGUGGCUCACGUCUGUCAUCCCAGCACUUUGGGAGGCCGAGGAGGGUGGAUCCUGAGGUCAGGAGUUCAAUACCAACCUGGCCAAGAUGGUGAAACCCCAUCUCUACUAAAAAUACAAAAAAAUUAGCUGGGCGUAGUGGCGGGCGCCCGCAAUCCCAGCUAUUCAGGAGGCUGAGGCAGACAAUUGUUUGAACCCAAGAGGCGGAGGUUGCAGUGAGCCGAGAUCACGCCACUGCACUCCAGCCUGGGCGACAGAGUGAGACUCCAUCUC
rnacentral:sRNA from 1 species